CGGCAGCACGGGGGCAACCCUGGUGGCGAGUGGCGAACGGGUGAGUAAUACAUCGGAACGUGUCCUGUAGUGGGGGAUAGCCCGGCGAAAGCCGGAUUAAUACCGCAUACGCUCUACGGAGGAAAGGGGGGGAUCGCAAGACCUCCCGCUACAGGGGCGGCCGAUGGCAGAUUAGCUAGUUGGUGGGGUAAAGGCCUACCAAGGCGACGAUCUGUAGCUGGUCUGAGAGGACGACCAGCCACACUGGGACUGAGACACGGCCCAGACUCCUACGGGAGGCAGCAGUGGGGAAUUUUGGACAAUGGGCGAAAGCCUGAUCCAGCAAUGCCGCGUGUGUGAAGAAGGCCUUCGGGUUGUAAAGCACUUUUGUCCGGAAAGAAAACGUCGUGGUUAAUACCCGUGGCGGAUGACGGUACCGGAAGAAUAAGCACCGGCUAACUACGUGCCAGCAGCCGCGGUAAUACGUAGGGUGCAAGCGUUAAUCGGAAUUACUGGGCGUAAAGCGUGCGCAGGCGGUUCGCUAAGACAGAUGUGAAAUCCCCGGGCUUAACCUGGGAACUGCAUUUGUGACUGGCGGGCUAGAGUAUGGCAGAGGGGGGUAGAAUUCCACGUGUAGCAGUGAAAUGCGUAGAGAUGUGGAGGA
rnacentral:rRNA from 1 species